rnacentral:lncRNA from 1 species
GGUUCGGGGGAGGCCUGGGGCCGCUCGCUGGUGCGCUGUCUCCGCCGCCCCCCCUUUCGCCGCCGCCGCCGCCCCGGGCAUGUCGUCCAACUGCACCAGCACCACGGCGGUGGCGGUGGCGCCGCUCAGCGCCAGCAAAACCAAGACCAAGAAGAAGCAUUUCGUGUGCCAGAAAGUGAAGCUAUUCCGGGCCAGCGAGCCGAUUCUCAGCGUCCUGAUGUGGGGGGUGAACCACACGGUAACCAGCUUCCCCGUGCGCGCCCCCACUCCCUCCGGCCUCGCCACGCUCGCCCCGCGGGUGACGCCUGCAACCCUUCCGCCGAGCCACUUGCAUGCCCGCCCACCCGUGCACGCUGUCCGGCCGGGCGUGCACUCCCCGUUCGCCACGCGAGGCCUGGUGUCCCCGUGCUAUGCCGUCGUCGUUUCCCCUUCGCUCCAGCCCCUCUGGCUUCUUGUGUCCGUAUGCUGGCUCCGUGCAACCCCGGAGCUUCCGAGGGAAGGCCUGGGUGCUGCAACGACGCUGCUUCUACCCUCAGCGUGUUUGUUGCAUGGCUAUUCCGCUUGUCUCUUAUAGCUGGCUACCACAUCAUUGCUCAGUUGACAGGGCAAGUGGGACUGGCUUGCCUGAAUGUUCCUGUUUGUGGUCCUUUGGGUGGUAUGGCUGCUCAAAGUUUCCCAUCUUCUAGGCCUCCUUACCCCUGACUGUGGACAUCCUCUCUGGGUUUCCUUUUUUUCUUCUUCUUCUUCAUGAAGACGUAUCAACUGGAGAAGCAGAGACUUCUCCAAACCACAGACACUUGACUUGUGUUCCCAUGGAUGAAGGAUAAGUGCGAGCACAAGGCCCGAGGGAGUGUAGACUUGGUUAUGGAAAUAAUGUAUCUUCCUCGUUCUUCUGUGAUGUUUCAAAGCCAUUGACUUCUCGUAUGGUUUUCCAGGGUGUGAUAAUGGUGAUUACUGUCUCAGAUGAGUGGUCCUUUGGGUCCUGGGUGCUUUGGGAUGGUGCAGCAGCCUCUGCCAAGAAGUUGGAUGUGGCCGACGUUAGCUGGUUGGCUCUGUUUAUGUGCUGUUUGUUUGGGAUCUGCUCUCUUUCGGUGGCUUGCUCUCUGCCUUCUCACCGUUUCUUUGUGAGUCCCUACACUGAGAGCAAACAGAGGAAGUGAAAAGACCUGAGGUGCUGACUCCACCAGCCACAAGUUUAGAAUGGGGGUGGGUGGGGGGAGGAUAACGGGUCGGGUCUCCUUCGGAUUUCAUUCUUUAGGCUCCAUGACUUUUCUGAACACUUGAAAUUGUCUACAAGACCAAACAAUGACCCAGGGACCCAGGGUCAGGGAGACUUCAUUUUCUCUUGCUUUGGUAGAAGACCUAGAGGGUCCUUUGGCUAGAGAUUGAGGGACAGCCACCUACACCAGCGUAGAUCUCCACGUCUUAGAGAAGAGCGCAUGUGUUUGUGAGGUCCUCUCAGGCCUCUUAGUCUUGGGCACAUUCCCCUUUUCCAUGGAAUCCCUGGGCUUAAUGAGUGUCCUGGCCGGGAAGUGGGAUGCCCGGACCUCUAAAGGAGCUGGACAUCAACAGUGAGCAGAGCUUGCUCCUCUUGCUUCGGGGGUCAUCUGACAUUCCCAGGGAAACUGGGUCAGCAAAUUGUGAACCCUGCAUCCCUUUCUGGGAGUCACUCCUUGAUUUUGUUUGACAUCUGGCCUCUCACUAGAAAGCAUCCUGUAGCAAAAGCCUGAAGGUGGGUAACUUCAUUUCACUCCGGAGACCGAACAGAGCCUUUGGCUCGGGGGUAGCUUGCCUAUGCUUGCCGUGAAGAUACAGUUCCUUGUCCAGCACCAAGAGGCUCUGUUGGUUAGUGGCGGUUCUUGAGUGACAGGCCUUUUGUUCCUUUUACUCUCUCAGCCAUGACCAAGCAUCUCAACUUGAAUAUAUACUGGGGAAAGGUGUGUGUGUGUGCACACGCGCACACUCACUGGGCAUGCCGGUUCCUGGGAUUGUAUAUGGUAUUUGGAUGGUAUUUGGUUUUCUCAUGGGCAAGCAAUAAGUCUGCGAAGACCUGGGCAUCUGAUGGAAAACUGAGGGCAAGAGAGCAUGGUGGUUACUGUUGCCCUUUGCUAACUUGAAGGAAGUUUGGUGGGCUAGCUGGAAAAGCCCUGACUUUCCAGGAUCCACAGGGAUCUGCAUACAGGUGGGAGGAGGACCUGGAGCACCACUGCCCUGUAUGGGUGAGCUUUGAAGGUUAGGUAGUUAGUGAGUUAGCUGGCUUGCUUCCUUCUGUUCUACCAUAAGGUGUCGAGGUGCCCUGUGAGAUAUGUGUGCCCAGAAGGCCAUAACAUCUUGCCGUUUCUCCAGGGCAUCAGGGCCCAGUUGCUCCUGGCGGGUGGCUGGCCUCCCUCGAGGGUUCCCUUUCUUCAGAAGUGCCCUGUUACACCUCUUUGCCACUUAAGAUUUCAGAUACCACCUUCCCUUCAGUCCUUCGGGGUCUCAGUGUUUAAAGCCUUCAGUCAUGCUGGUCUAGAGCUAAGAUGGCAUAUUGGAUGGGAAUGCCCAUGUCUUCAGCAAAAGCCAGCUACCUUCUCAUGAGCUAGUUGCUUUCUUUACUUCUGAGUGGAAAAGAGAAACCUUU